UAUAGAAAACAUAUCUCCAAAAAAAAAAACAUCCCAAAUCGAAGAAAGAGAUUUGGGAUUUCGUGUGAAGCUCGUCGCCGACCUCCACCGUGAAGCUCGUUGCCGGCCUCCACCGUAAAGCUCGUCGCCGGCCUCCACCCUAAUUUCUAUAUAUCUUCUCCAUCCUCUUUCUCUCCUUUACCUCUUCGCUUUCUUCCUCGAUUCUUCUUUUCUUCCUAGAUUAUUCCCUUCUCCUUAGCUCUCCUUUACCUCUUCACUCUCUUCCUACGAUUAUACAGCUCUGGAUAUAUUGGAUUUUGAUUUCGUUGGCCUGAAACCCCAAACCAGUUUCGACGCUCGGUGCUUCACCAUUCAAUUAAGUGUUCGACGAAUUGCCUCAUUAUUGGCUUGCUUGUUUCUUAACAUUAUUUGUCGUUCUGUGCUUAAGAUUCUACCUUUGAGGUCAUUAACAGGUAGAACAGUAGAGAAGAGGUCUGGUUUUUCUUUGGAAGGUCCUUAAGAUUUUAAUUAGUUGGUCUCGAGGAAACAUUAUUGCAAUCUCCACAAUUGUCCACCGUUGAGAAAAUCAGAGAUUGAGUACUACGCAAUGCUUGCUAAAGUUGGUGUUCACCAUUACAAUGGAAAUUUCUCUAAGUGCUCUUAAAGAGAGAGAUAGAAAGUGGAGGUCGGGCAGCCAAAGAAAAAGACUAACGGAAGCACUCAGGACAAAGACAAUGUAGAGGAUACCAAGGUGAAAGAGGAGCGAAUAGAAAGAAUUAAGAGAUGGAUGAUAGUGAAGAAUUCUCAGAAGUUUCUGAUCUAAGUAAGUGGUUUUCGAGUUAUGUCUAUGAGUCACCGAUGUUGGAUACAAGUGAUGGUCUUGAGUUUCUUGGAGAAAGUAAAGGUACAAAGGAAAUGGAAUUAGUCUCUUCUCAGGCUAAAGAUAUGUCUCAAUCGCAGGUUGAUUUUCAGUGACAUAGAUGAAGACUGCUGUAUUUGGGGGAAAUCUAAGAGAAAAGGUAGCAGUAUUUUUCGAGAACCUAAGAGAAAGGAAGAGACUACAACAACCUGUGAAGCUGAGCUAACUUCCUUGAGGAAUCGAGUCCAAUAUCUAGAAAACGAAGUAAGGAUUUUGCAUGAUCUCAUCAAUAACUUCCUUGGCAAAAGUAGUAUAUAGAAGUUAGGAUAUUAGUUUAAGUAUUGGAUUGAGACUUGUGUUAUGUAUGAAUUGAUUUUUGGUUUAUGAAAUGAUGUAUAUCUUUUGGAUGUUUAUUA